UACGGAGGGUGCGAGCGUUGUCCGGAAUCAUUGGGCGUAAAGGGCGCGUAGGUGGCCCGGUCAGUCUUUGGUGAAAGCGCGGGGCUCAACCCUGCGUCGGCCAGGGAUACUGCCGCGGCUCGAGCACUGUAGAGGCAGGCGGAAUUCCGGGUGUAGCGGUGGAAUGCGUAGAGAUCCGGAAGAACACCGGUGGCGAAGGCGGCCUGCUGGGCAGUUUAGCUGACACUGAGGCGCGACAGCGUGGGAGCAAACAGG
rnacentral:rRNA from 1 species